UCCGGGCUCGGCUUCUCUUCUUCCUUUUCGAGCUCCCACGCCGCACGCCCCUCAUCUCCCUCCCCUCCGCCCCCCUGUCCCACGCGCCGCGCCAAUCCCCACCACUCCCAACGUCACCGGCGCCAGGCCAGCUCCACCCAACAUCCAUCACCCGGAACACGAGAUCCGAAAGGCGGGCGGGCGGCGGCGGCGGCGGCGGCUCGGAAGAUGGCGGCCACGCUGCCGCAGCUGGACGACGGCAUCGUCCGCAGCAUGGCCAUCGGCGCGGUCUUCACCGACUACGCCGGGAAGAUAAGCUGCCUCGAUUUCCACCGCAAGGAGGACCUCCUCGUCACCUCCAGCGAGGACGACUCCAUUCGCCUCUACAACACCACCAGCGCCACGUUGUCGAAGACUACUUAUCAUAAAAAACAUGGUGCUGACCGUGUCUGUUUUACUCAUCAUCCGAGUUCCAUAUUAUGUUCAUCAAGAUACAAUGUGGAGUCAGGAGAAUCACUUCGUUACCUGUCAUUGUAUGACAACCGUUGCUUGAGAUAUUUCAAAGGACACAAAGACAGGGUUGUUUCACUAUGUAUGUCACCUGUCAAUGAUAGCUUUAUGUCGGGGUCACUUGAUCACAGUGUCAGAAUAUGGGAUCUUCGUGUAAAUGCUUGUCAGGGUAUACUGCGUCUGCGUGGUAGGCCUUCUGUUGCAUAUGAUCAGCAGGGACUUGUUUUUGCUGUAGCAAUGGAGGGAGGUGCUAUUAAGCUGUUUGAUUCUCGGUCAUAUGACAAGGGUCCAUUCGACACUUUCUUGGUUGGUGGAGAUACGGCUGAAGUGUCUGACAUUAAAUUCAGCAACGAUGGCAAGUCUGUGCUUUUGACUACAACUAACAACCAUAUAUAUGUUCUAGAUGCAUAUGGAGGGGAGAAGAAGUGUGGCUUCAGCUUGGAGUCAUCUCGCAACAUAGCAACUGAAGCUGCUUUCACUCCAGAUGGUCAAUAUGUAAUUUCAGGAUCUGGUGAUGGUACCUUGCAUGCUUGGAACAUCAAUACAGUACAGGAGAUUGCCUGUUGGAACAGUCAUAUUGGUCCUAUCACUGCUUUGAAAUGGGCCCCUCGUCGAGCUAUGUUCGCAACUGCAUCGACAGCACUGACUUUCUGGAUUCCCAACGAAUCCAGUUCGAGUUAGGUCUCUGAGGAAGGGAGAUGGAACAUGGAAUGCGCUAACUUAACAAAAGGCUUGUAUCAUGUUCUUUCCUUGACAGGACAGAACUUGAAGAACUACCAUGGGAAUACACCUGCUAACUUCUCUAAUGCAACAAUACAAGAAAAGGAGACCAAACGAAAGGGCAAGGUGCAAAUUACAGAACCAUCAGUCGUCUACACCAAGGCGGUCCAUUAAACCCGAAAUAGCGCCUUGCAUCAUUAUUACUACUGGGAGCAGCAAGGCGCAACAUACAACAUGAAGCACUAAACCAUAAAAUCAACACCACUAGUCAUCUAUCAAACAUGC